AAUGGGCGAGAGCCUGAACCAGCCAAGUCGCGUGAAGGAAGAAGGAUCUAUGGUUCGUAAACUUCUUUUGCAGGGGAAUAAAGUGCAGGACGUGUCCUGUUUUGUAUGUACCCUGAGAAUAAGGAUCGGCUAACUCCGUGCCAGCAGCCGCGGUAAUACGGAGGAUCCGAGCGUUAUCCGGAUUUAUUGGGUUUAAAGGGUGCGUAGGUGGUUUGAUAAGUCAGCGGUGAAAGUUUUCGGCUUAACAGGAUAAAUGCCGUUGAUACUGUCUGGCUAGAAUAUGGUUGCUGUGAGUGGAAUGUGUGGUGUAGCGGUGAAAUGCUUAGAUAUCACACAGAAUAUCGAUUGCGAAGGCAGCUCACAAAGCCAUUAUUGACGCUGAGGCACGAAAGUGUGGGGAUCAAA
rnacentral:rRNA from 1 species